rnacentral:rRNA from 1 species
AUACGAAGGGUGCAAGCGUUACUAGGAAUUACUGGGCGUAAAGCGUGCGUAGGUGGUUGUUUAAGUCUGUCGUGAAAGCCCUGGGCUCAACCUGGGAAUGGCGAUGGAAUCUGGGCGACUAGAGUGUGGCAGAGGGUAGUGGAAUUCAUGGUGUAGCAGUGAAAGGGGUAGAGAUCAGGAUGAACAUCCGUGGCGAAGGCGACUGCCUGGGCCAACACUGACACUGAGGCACGAUAGCGUGGGGAGCAAACAGGAUUAGAUACCCUGGUUGUCCACGCCCUAAACGAUGCGAACUGGAUGUUGGGUGCAAUUUGGCACGCAGUAUCGAAGCUAACGCGUUAAGUUCGCCGCCUGGGGAGUACGGUCGCAAGACUGAAACUCAAAGGAAUUGACGGGG